ACUAUCACCAGUGGUACCUCUACUAUCAUCAGUGGUAGGUACCUCUACUAUCAUCAGUGGUACCUCUACUAUCAUCAGUGGUAUCUCUACUAUCAUCAGUGGCACCUCUACUAUCAUCAGUGGUACCUCUACUAUCAUCAGUGGUAGGUAUCUCUACUAUCAUCAGUGGUACCUAUACUAUCAUCAGUGGUAUCUCUACUAUCAUCAGUGGUAGGUAUCUCUACUAUCAUCAGUGGUAGGUACCUCUACUAUCAUCAGUGGUAGGUACCUCUACUAUCAUCAGUGGUACCUCUACUAUCAUCAGUGGUACCUCUACUAUCAUCAGUGGUAGGUAUCUCUACUAUCAUCAGUGGUACCUCUACUAUCAUCAGUGGUACCUCUACUAUCAUCAGUGGUACCUCUACUAUCAUCAGUGGUAUCUCUACUAUCAUCAGUGGUACCUCUACUAUCAUCAGUGGUAGGUAUCUCUACUAUCAUCAGUGGUACCUCUACUAUCAUCAGUGGUACCUCUACUAUCAUCAGUGGUAGGUAUCUCUACUAUCAUCAGUGGUACCUCUACUAUCUUCAGUGGUACCUCUACUAUCAGCAGUGGUACCUCUACUGUCAUCAGUGGUAGGUAUCUCUACUAUCAUCAGUGGUACCUCUACUAUCAUCAGUGGUACAUCUACUAUCAUCAGUGGUACCUCUACUAUCAUCAGUGGUAGGUAUCUCUACUAUCAUCAGUGGUAUCUCCAAUAUCAUCAGUGGUACCUCUACUAUCAUCAGUGGUACCUCUACUAUCAUCAGUGGUAGGUAUCUCCACUAUCAUCAGUGGUAUCUCUACUAUCAUCAGUGGUAGGUAUCUCUACUAUCAUCAGUGGUACCUAUACUAUCAUCAGUGGUAUCUCUACUAUCAUCAGUGGUAGGUACCUCUACUAUCAUCAGUGGUAUCUCUACUAUCAUCAGUUGUACCUCUACUAUCAUCAGUGGUAGGUAUCUCUACUAUCAUCAGUGGUACCUCUACUAUCAUCAGUGGUAGGUAUCUCUACUAUCAUCAGUGGUACCUCUACUAUCAUCAGUGGUAGGUAUCUCUACUAUCAUCAGUGGUAUCUCUACUAUCAUCAGUGGUACCUCUGCUAUCAUCAGUGGUACCUCUACUAUCAUCAGUGGUACCUCUGCUAUCAUCAGUGGUACCUCUACUAUCUUCAGUGGUACCUCUACUAUCAUCAGCUGUACCUCUACUAUCAUCAGCGGUACCUCUACUAUCAUCAGUGGUAGGUACCUCUACUAUCAUCAGUGGUAUCUCUACAAUCAUCAGUGGUAUCUCUAAUAUCAUCAGUGGUAUCUCUACUAUCAUCAGUGGUAGGUACCUCUACUAUCAUCAGUGGUAUCUCUACUAUCAUCAGUGGUAUCUCUACUAUCAUCAGUGUUAGGUAUCUCUACUAUCAUCAGUGGUACCUCUACUAUCAUCAGUGGUAGGUAUCUCUAAUAUCAUCAGUGGUAUCUCUACUAUCAUCAGUGGUAUCUCUACUAUCAUCAGUGGUAGGUAUCUCUACUAUCAUCAGUGGUAUCUCUACUAUCAUCAGUGGUAUCUCUACUAUCAUCAGUGGUACCUCUACUGUCAUCAGUGGUAUCUCUACUAUCAUCAGUGGUAGGUACCUCUACUAUCAUCAGUGGUACCUCUACUAUCAUCAGUGGUAGGUACCUCUGCUAUCAUCAGUGGUAGGUACCUCUACUAUCAUCAGUGGUACCUCUACUAUCAUCAGUGGUACCUCUACUAUCAUCAGUGGUAUCUCUACUAUCAUCAGUGGCACCUCUACUAUCAUCAGUGGUACCUCUACUAUCAUCAGUGGUAGGUAUCUCUACUAUCAUCAGUGGUACCUCUACUUGGUAUCUCUACUAUCAUCAGUGGUAUCUCUACCAUCAUCAGCGGUAUCUCUACUACCAUCAGUAGUACCUCUACUAUCAUCAGUGGUACCUCUACUAUCAUCAGUGGUACCUCUACUAUCAUCAUUGGUACCUCUACUAUCAUCAGUGGUACCUCUACUAUCAUCAGUGGUACCUCUACUAUCAUCAGUGGUAGGUACCUCUACUAUCAUCAGUGGUACCUCUACUAUCAUCAGUGGUACCUCUACUAUCAUCAGUGGUAGGUAUCUCUACUAUCAUCAGUGGUACCUCUACUAUCAUCAGUGGUACCUCUACUAUCAUCAGUGGUACCUCUACUAUCAUCAGUGUUACCUCUACUAUCAUCAGUGGUACCUCUACUAUCAUCAGUGGUAGGUAUCUCUACUAUCAUCAGUGGUAGGUAUCUCUACUAUCAUCAGUGGUACCUCUACUAUCAUCAGUGGUAGGUAUCUCUACUAUCAUCAGUGGUACCUCUACUAUCAUCAGUGGUACCUCUACUAUCAUCAGUGGUACCUCUACUGUCAUCAGUGGUAGGUAUCUCUACUAUCAUCAGUGGUACCUCUACUAUCAUCAGUGGUACCUCUACUAUCAUCAGUGGUACCUCUACUAUCAUCAGUGGUAGGUAUCUAUAUAAUGUAGUGCACUAUAUAGGGAAUAGGGUGCCAUAGGACUCUGGUCUAAAGUAGUGCACUACAUAGGGAAUAGGGUGCCAUAGGGCUCUGGUAUAAAGUAGUGCACUACAUAGGAAAUAGGGUGCCAUUUGGGACAUUUACUUAGAGACAAUCAGAAGGCUGUACAGUGUUGCUGCGGCAACAGCUCACCUCUAACUGACUGACUGACUGCAAUCUCACUAACUCUCUCAUGGCAACGUUCAAGUCUGGUUUACAGCGCAAAUAUACAAAUAGUUUAAAGAAUGAGAGAAACUAACUCAUUUAUACAACCAUGUACACAUAUGUACAACUCUCUUCAGGUAGGGGGAACACAUUAUUAUAUAUGCAGUAUAUAAUUAUACAUAUUAGGAUUGUCAAAGUUAACAUGUUUAUAAUGUGUUAAUGCGUGACAUUAUUAUCAGCUUACAUUUUUGGGGGGAUAGAUUUUUAGUCAAUGUCUUUACCGAAAGGAACCUUUUAUAAGCAGACGUUUCCGCACGGACCCUUUUAAGGGCAGAACACAACACAGCUACAGUCAAUGUUUGUGCCUUUACAUGGAGUUCCUUUACAUCGCUGAAGACCGUGUGCCUCUGGCAUAAAUCAUAUCAAAGUUAUGUUCAAUAUUACCGGCGCUAUGUUCUUUCUUUCUGCCGUGGAUUUGUGCGCCUUUCGCGGGCCGCUUUCAAACUAGUCAGGAGCAAUCCUUUUUGGGGGGUUUGAUAACAAACGACAUUGUUUAGCUAGCUAGUCAUGUUACCUAGCCUGAUAACUGACCACUGACGAGGCUAUGCACACAUUUGGAUGGCACGGGAAGAACUGAAAAUGAAUGGGCUACUCAAAGACGUGCUUGUAACGUCUGCUUCCAACGCACACUCUCACACACGUAGAUCCCCUGAACGCAGCUCACUCUCCAGAUCCCCGACACCUGAAUUCUGAUCACCUGUUCACACACCUGUAUGUCAUUAUCACACACUAUGUCGUUCAGUUCUUUGCACCUCAUCACUGUGAGCUACCUGCCUCCUCCUGUGUAUGACCUUCUGCCUGCCCCUGGACCCAGCUACCUGCCUCCUCCUGUGUAUGACCUUCUGCCUGCCCCUGGACCCAGCUACCUGCCUCCUCCUGUGUAUGACCUUCUGCCUGCCCCUGGACCCAGAUACCUGCCUCCUCCUGUGGUCCUUUACUAAUAAACACCUGCUCUUGAAACCA